CUUACAUUAAAUCUGAUAAUAAAAUUUUGAUUCGGACUGUUUCCUCGGAAGUUUUCAUGGAGGUUUUUUUAUCAACGGUGUACAAAAUUUGUAAAAUGACGACUAAAACCCUAUAAGUCAAGGCUUGCUCGACCCCAACAAAGGGCAUUGCCACCCAUUCCAAUUGAUAUCGCACAGCAAAUUGCACCUCAAAACUGGGUCGACGUCGUCGUCGAGCACAAGCUGAUCCACUUUCCGAAAGCUUCAUAAGCGCGUCCAGCGUCGACGAUGUCUUCAGUUGCCGUGUGGAGCCGGUUGAAACGCGCGGAAGUCGCUCGCAUUGGAAAUCGUCGUGUCAUCGUGUCGUCUGAUACCGUAUACUCGGUCAGCCCUUUGGAUUACCCAGCACUUGUUGCUGCUGAUUGCUUUCGUUUUUUGUUUGAGUGAAUCGCUGUAAUCGGAUGCUCCUUUUGGUAGCCCAUUGUAUAAUAAACAAGUGCUAUUAAGUGAAACUAAGAAAAUUAAUUAAAAUCUCAAAUCAAA